CCCCCUCAGUCCCGCAGCACAGAGAAAUCCGUGCUGCAGGAGUACUCAGAAAUGUCGUAUUUUGAAAGAUACGGGGUUUCUUUUUUGGUUCAGAGAAUGAACCAGAACCAGCAGAAAACUCACGGAGAUUGAACAUGAGAUACGGGUGCCCAGAUACAGCCAGGAAAAGGUUGGUUUUGCUUAGAGCAACUCUAGAAUAUAAGGGGCGAAACGGAGAAAAUGAAACUUUUUGCUUUUCCAGGAGGAAGUGUGAAAUCAAGUUCGGUGGUAAUCCUAGGGAUAUGAUGAGAUUCUCUAAUACCAUAGGGCCGAGUUCAAACCUGACGCAAAUGGAGUAACUCCGGUGAAGCUGAACCUCCUCACCCCACAUCGGAGUUUUGCUGGUUCUGCCCUCUCUUUAUAUUCCUUGGAUUGCUGUGGGGGCAAGACGGGUUUCAUCUCCGAAGUUCCUGCUUUGUUGUAACCCCCACCUGUUCAACACGGUGGUAUUUUGCACCUGGAUGUUAGGCCAACCGUUUCAGCAAGGUGCUCUCAGCGCUUUCCGAUUCCAAGCGAGCAGCUGGCUGAAGAAUAACCGUAUGGGGAUAAUCCGUAAAGUAAGGUAUCGUAAAGAACGUGGAACGUUUACCUUUAACCUUUUACCUUCAUGUCUCCAUCCAAAUUGUUCGUGGUGCUUACCUCUCUUGCACAAGCACUGGAUUUAAAUGCUGUAUGCCUCUUUUUGCUUUCUGACAUCUCACUUGCUCGCUGGGGAUAGCAGUGUUCCUUUCCAGCGUAAACACAGCCUUUACAGAGAUGAUUUCGGUGUUCACUACGAGCCUUUCAUUUGCAUUGUUUAUGCAGGCACAUCACGCGUUGUACAAUAUCUGUCUUGUUGGCGAUGAGCGUCAGCGUGAUGGGAAGGGAACAAAAGACUAGGAGGGAUAAUCAGCAGAUGCAAUGAAACAAUGCCAAUGGCAAGAGAAAAUAGCUGGAGAGGCAGCUUCUGGGGUUAGAAGAGUCCUCAGUGGGAUGUGGUAUAUGCAGAUUCACUGGAGCCGGUGGAUCUUCUAGAUACUGAGUAUUCUGCUGGAACUCAUCCAUCUUUUUAACUUUCUGCCUUUUCUUGGAAAAGACGAGUGAUGCCUGCUGCCGCAGGUUUUCCAAGACAUUUUGCCUGGGUACUGUGUUGGUGACACCUCCCGCUCUUCCCUCCUGACCUGCACACAACAACGUGAGGCUGGAAACCCCUCACUGCGAGCUGGGUUUGGUUUCAGAGCGGGACAAGCACAGCAGAUACUCUUCUGCUUCCCGUCAUGCCCGUUUCAUGUCCUUUCAUUUGGUUUUGUGGGGACUUGGUUCCUAUUUCUUCUAGAAAGAUGUGUUUCUCUGCCAUGUAACCAGUCUUUUCCCUGUUCUGUAGAGAUUUCUUAUUCUCACUGCUUUUUUUUUUUUAAUUGACUUUUUUAAUGGGAUUUUGUAUUGAAUUUCCUUCUACUUCUCUUUUCAGUUUUUAUGUGCUUUACAUUUCUUAGCUUCAAGACCUUAAGACUGUACUUUGGCCUUUAUAGUUGCGGUAGCCUGGUAAGUCAAGUGAAAAGUUGUUCCAAGUAAAUUUGUUGUCACAAAAGGGUAGGUAUUUCUGUAGUUUACCUUACCCACAUUUUUCAUUAAAGGAAUUUUUUUAAUAAUAACUAUACCUCAGCAUAGAGCUAAUAGCUGCCCCCCGUUUUACAACAGCACAGGUAAAGGGAAAGGUCUGAGUGUCCUGGGCUUCGAGUGGCUAUACUUUAAAGUGAUGAUUAAGAAAUUUGAUAGCCAAAGUCUACAGCUUUGACUAUGGUGAAUUCUUUCCCAGAUCAGGGUAGGGAAUACAGGGACAUUGAGACCCUCUUCUCCCCUCUCAUGCGGUCUGUGUUCUUCCAGAAAGAUGUUAAAGAAAUAACUUUGCAGUAGCUGAAGGUGUAACCUGCUGCAUUUAUUUCAAUAAUCUCUUUUCAUCAUUUGUCAUUACACGCAAAAUGUGUGUAACCAUUUUACUUUCUAAAACAAAUGCUUAUGUAUUUUUCAUGUUAUAAAGCCUGUAAUGGUUGAAGUUACGUGCAGCUCUAUAGCUGCAAAUUAAUACGAGCCACAAUGGAGGAAAAUAAAUUUUAAUAGCAUACACAGCAGCUGUAAGUUUGCGGGGAGCUAAUUUAAACCAUACACUCUUACCAGUCUGCCUCGAGCAUUAGUAAGAAAUAUCUUAAGUGAGAUGUAGUUCAUUUUGGUCGUAAUUCUAGUGGUAAUUUUCUUUUAUAUUUAAAGCUUAUCAGUCUAUAGCUUUUUCUUUUUACAUCACAAGUCUUCAAUUGAAGGGGAUUUUCAGUGAAUUCUGCAUUAGGUUGGAUUGGUGUUUCUGACCUACAGGUAAUAAGUGACAGUGAAAAUUCAGAAUCAUAUCUGUACAAAAUUUGAUCGAUUUCUUAAAGUGAUCGGCUGCCAUGGGCCACUGUGUGCACUGAAGUGGCUAAUGUGCUGCCAGUAUUAUCUGUAUCUCAGGUUAGAAACAAUUAUUGACUAAACAAUAGUUUUCUUUCCAUCAAAGAAGAACACGUUGGCAGAAUGGAGUAGCUGCUUCCUGAAGGAGAUGCUGGAAGAAGAGGGAUGGAAGCAACUCACCCAAGCGAUGAGUUGGAUUUUGGGGGGUUUUGGUUUUUUUUUUUUGUUAGGAAAGAAAGAAUAAGGACUAAGAAGAUGAAUUACUUUUUAACAUCUGGAAUGGCCAAGGAGCAGAGUCAGGCAAUGAGUCAAUGUGAACCUUUUGGUUGCCCGCCAGAAGAUUGCUGUAGGAAGAAGGCAAAACACGUAGAUCAGGAAGACUGAGCUGCAGAAGUGAAGUCUUGUGGUUUCUGACCAUGAAGGCACUGUGCAAAACCCAAAGGGACCUCAGGAGGGGUCGGACUUCGACAAAGAGAAUUGCAGUACUCGUGGAGAAAUUCUGUGAGCUCUGUGCCACUCCAAAAGACCCCAAAACCUUUAGGUAAGGAGUCCGUUUGCUUCAGGCUCACAACAUCUGCAGGGUGCUGCAGGAGUUUUUGUGGACCGUCAGAGAGCAAAGACUUGGAGCAUACAUUGUACGAAAACCUCAUUAACAAAGCAUCGGGUCAUGCAUGAAUGCAGGACAUUCAGAAAGGUGUAUUUGAAAAACGUCUUCACCAUUUGAAGGGAAAAUAAGUGCAUUUAUCAGAAAUCAGUAUAUAUUGCAAAAGCGGACUGUUCAGAUUUUAAAACAAAUUUGUUUUGGCUGUGGUCUUGUCUACCACCGUGUCUACCACCAUUUGUGCCAGUAACAACAGAUUUGGGAGCUGUCUGUCCGGAGUUUAAAUUGACAAGCGUGUGGAUUCAUGCCGGAACCGCAGGGACACUUGUUUCUUGGGGAAGUAAGCAACACAACGUGAUGGACCUGCUCGGUCACAACUGUUUUGCGGGCGGCUUUUCUGAUUCCAUGGAGCGGAGCUACUUUGUUUUUAAUUAAAAAUAGGGUGCUUUAAAAUUGUAAUUGAACUCAAGGAAACUGCAUUUGA